GCAAAAACAGCCGUAAAGCCCAGCCGCAGUAAUGCCGCUGGUGCUGCCUCAGGCCCUGCUGCCGUCCCCGUGGAGCCUCGGCUUUCCUCUCUCCCCACGUCGCACCGUGGCAGGUGGCUGCGGGGCGAAGUGUGCGCCGCGGCUCGGAAAAGCGGUGGGCUUGGCCACGGAGUGCCACGACAGCUGCGGACGUCCUGGUGUCACAAUGAGGCGCGCAGGCGAAGCCGACAAGAAGAGCCGGGCCCUGAGCAGAGGCGCCAUCGCCUGGCAAAGUCCGCUAGGUGUAAUGCUGGGCAAGCGGCAGGAAGGCAGGAGGCAGCCGACAGGGAGAUAUUGCCACAGAUCUACUGAUGCUCUUCAUCAGCCAGAACCUUUCUCCGAAGCGUCAACAUCUGGUCUCUGAUGAUGCUUCAGGAAGACACUCCGCACUUUCA
rnacentral:lncRNA from 1 species